rnacentral:rRNA from 1 species
UUUUUAAGCAGCUGCCAAACCCCAAGAGCGCACCCGUCCCUGUAGCAAAAGGGUGGGAAGACUUAAAAAUAGAGGCAAAAAGCCAAUCGAGCUUGGUGAUAGCUGGCUACUCAACAAAAGAAUUUUAGUUCAACUUUAGGCACCUGCCCGAGCCAGCAUUCAAUAAAACUCGUCUCUUUUUAACCUAAAGAAAAUCAAUGGGGGUACAGCCCCAUUGAACCGGAAUACAGCCCGAACUGAGAAAAAUACUAUCCCACUUCCCGUAGGCUUCAAAGCAGCCACCAAAUAAUUGCGUUAUAGCAUACCCACUAAACAAUUACAAUAAUCUAAAAAACCUCCUGACUUACAAUGAGUUAUUCUAUAUCAAUAUAGAAACACCAAUGCUAAAAUUAGUAAUAAGAAACACUUAUUUCUCUCCGCACCCCUUUAAAUCAGAAUAGAAAAACUACUGACAAUUAACAAACCAACAAACACCCACAACCCACCUAGCCAAGCUGUUACUAAAAACUUGUUACCCCUACACAGGUGUGCAAAAAAGAAAGACAAAAAGCCGCAAAAGGAACUCGGCAAAACUUAGUCCCAACUGUUUACCAAAAACAUAGCCUUUAGCCCAACAAGUAUUAAAGGUCCCGCCUGCCCAGUGACUCUUUAAACGGCCGCGGUAUCCUAACCGUGCAAAGGUAGCAUAAUCACUUGUCCCUUAAAUAGGGACUAGAAUGAACGGCUAAAUGAGAACUAAACUGUCUCUUGCGAGCUGGUCAAUGAAAUUGAUUUUCCAGUACAAAAGCUGGAAUAAACACAUAAGACGAGAAGACCCUGUGGAGCUUCAAAACCAAGUUCAACAAAUAAUGCUUCCUUGCGUUUUUAGUUGGGGCGACUUUGGAGUACAAAAAACCCUCCAAAACAUAUUAAACCAAUUAUAUCAAGAUCAACAAAUCAAAAACUACAUAGACCCAGCAAAACCCUUGUUUUUGCCUGACCAAUGAACCAAGUUACCCCAGGGAUAACAGCGCCAUCCCCUUAUAGAGUCCUUAUCGACAAGGGGGUUUACGACCUCGAUGUUGGAUCAGGACCCCCCAAUGGUGCAGCCGCCAUUAAAGGUUCGUUUGUUCAACGAUUAAAGUCCUA